rnacentral:ncRNA from 1 species
CCCGGCAGAUAGCGCGAUCACGCGCAUCCCCCGAAAGGGAAUCGGGUUAAGAUUUCCCGAGCCGGGAUGUGGCGGUUGACGGCGACGUUAGGAAGUCCGGAGCCGGCGGCGGGGGCCUCGGGAAGAGUUAUCUUUUCUGCUUAACGGCCUGCCAACCCUGGAAACGGUUCAGCCGGAGGUAGGGUCCAGUGGCCGGAAGAGCACCGCACGUCGCGCGGUGUCCGG